rnacentral:rRNA from 1 species
GAUGAACGCUGGCGGCGCGCCUAAUACAUGCAAGUCGAGCGAACAGACGAGGAGCUUGCUCCUCUGACGUUAGCGGCGGACGGGUGAGUAACACGUGGAUAACCUACCUAUAAGACUGGGGUAACUUCGGGAAACCGGAGCUAAUACAGGAUAAUAUAUUGAACCGCAUGGUUCAAUAGUGAAAGACGGUUUUGCUGUCACUUAUAGAUGGAUCCGCGCCGCAUUAGCUAGUUGGUAAGGUAACGGCUUACCAAGGCGACGAUGCGUAGCCGACCUGAGAGGGUGAUCAGCCACACUGGAACUGAGACACGGUCCAGACUCCUACGGGAGGCAGCAGUGGGGAAUCUUCCGCAAUGGGCGAAAGCCUGACGCAGCAACGCCGCGUGAGUGAUGAAGGUCUUCGGAUCGUAAAACUCUGUUAUUAGGGAAGAACAAAUGUGUAAUUAACUAUGCACGUCUUGACGGUACCUAAUCAGAAAGCCACGGCUAACUACGUG